UUGUGCCCUUGAGGCGUGGCUUCCGGAGCUAACGCGUUAAGUCGACCGCCUGGGGAGUACGGCCGCAAGGUUAAAACUCAAAUGAAUUGACGGGGGCCCGCACAAGCGGUGGAGCAUGUGGUUUAAUUCGAUGCAACGCGAAGAACCUUACCUACUCUUGACAUCCAGAGAACUUUCCAGAGAUGGAUUGGUGCCUUCGGGAACUCUNANACAGGUGCUGCAUGGCUGUCGUCAGCUCGUGUUGUGAAAUGUUGGGUUAAGUCCCGCAACNAGCGCNACCCUUAUCCUUUGUUGCC
rnacentral:rRNA from 1 species